AUCGAACGCUGGCGGCAGGCCUAACACAUGCAAGUCGAACGAGUGGCGGACGGGUGAGUAAUGUUUGGGAAACUGGCUGAUGGAGGGGGAUAACUACUGGAAACGGUAGCUAAUACCGCAUACCAUCAGAUGUGCCCAGAUGGGAUUAGCUAGUUGGUGGGGUAACGGCUCACCAAGGCGACGAUCCCUAGCUGGUCUGAGAGGAUGACCAGCCACACUGGAACUGAGACACGGUCCAGACUCCUACGGGAGGCAGCAGUGGGGAAUAUUGCGCAAUGGGGGCAAGCCUGAUGCAGCCAUGCCGCGUGAAUGAAGAAGGCCUUCGGGUUGUAAAGUACUUUCAGCGGGGAGGCGUUAACCGCAGAAGAAGCACCGGCUAACUCCGUGCCAGCCGCCGCGGUAAUAC
rnacentral:rRNA from 1 species